rnacentral:rRNA from 1 species
GACGAACGCUGGCGGCGUGCUUAACACAUGCAAGUCGAACGGAAAGGCCCUGUUAUUGCCUGCUGCUCGAGUGGCGAAAGGGUGAGUAACACGCGAGUGACUUACACUUGACCUAGCGAUAACUUAAGGAGAGUGGAGAGAAUACCGUAUCUGAGCUUCUCCCACAAGCUGGCAGUUCGGCAUGUUAGGCGGUUGGGGAUGGACUCGCGUCUUAUCAGCUUGCUGCUGGGGUAGUGGCUUACCAGGGCAUUGACUGGUAGCGGGCCUGAGAGGGUGACAGGCCACAUUGGGACUGAGAUGAGACACAGACUCAUACGGGAGGCAGGGGUGGAGAAGAUGGCACUAUGGGAGGAAGCCAGAUGUAGCAACGCCGCGCGGGGGAUGACGGGCAUCAGUUUGGAAAGCGAUGUCGCAUGAGACGAAGCGUGAGUGACGGUAAUGGGUAAAGAAGCACCGGCUAACUACGUG